rnacentral:lncRNA from 1 species
CAGCUUCGCCUGGAUCACCUACUUCUCCCCAAGAGCCGGGGUGGAUUCAGGGUCCCCUGGAGCUUGUGGGCUCAUCGUGUGGGAGGAGUGGUUCCCUAGAGCAAAAUCGGGGUACUGUUACUACAGAGUAGAGCUAGAUGAAAACAGCAGCAACAGCAACAAAUGCCCAGUACAGUCUCCCCUUGAUGGGUGUCCAACCUUCACUUCGGCACCAAAGCAGUAACCGUCUACUGAGCUCGGCCAAAGAAAACCUCUCUCAGGACCAGAGCACAGGGACACCCUACAGAAGAGGGGCUCACAGCCCUGAGGCUACAAGUGAGCAAACCGAGGUUCUGAAAGAUCACUCUGCAUCUUGCUGACUAGAAGCAGUGGAAAUGACCCAUGUCCUGACUCAGUCACUUCCUAACUGUGGGAUCUGGGGCAGGUCCCUUCCUCUUGAACCCUGAAAAGACAACUGGCAGUUGAGAGAGAGCUCCAGGCUUGGAACCACAGGCCUAAAAGGGCUCUAAAGUCCCUCCACCCCCUCUCCCACGUCCAAAGUCUCAACAUUCCCAUUUUACAGAUGAGGAAACUGAGGCCGGAGCCGAACCCUGGUCAGCAAUGCAGGCUCCUGGUUAAAAGCGUUCCAGGCUCUCAUGCUGAUCAUCACUGGCAGUCCCUUCUCUCCGUUCUGCACAUGGAACUCAUGCCCAGAGGAGAAACCAUGAUGCGAGAAAGCUAGAAGCCACUGGACUCUAGUGCCGACAGAGGCUAGGCUCCUGCCUCCCUGGCCUUGCCCCCCCUCUUGAACGGUGCUGCAGGGCGAAUCUGGAGCAGGGAGGAACCGGUUUCCAGUUUCCAGGCACAAGGGAUGUCGCAGCCUCGGCCUGGGGGGAUGCCCGUCUCCUAGAGCGGGCUGGGGGAGGCACGUGGGCACCAGUGCCUGGGUGCAGCCAGCUUGCAGUUACCACGGAAACCGCCUCCCUGGUCCCUGGCAACCAAAGCGCUCCUUCCUUCCCACGCAGGGCGGGGGUGGGGUGGGGGAAGGAAAGAGCCACCAAUGAGAUGGCGGGAAUCCCGUGACGUCGACGGUAUCCGGGCUGUGUGGAGGAGCUGGCUGCGAGCGAAGCACGGUACGGGAGCCUCUGGUCGGGGGUUGGGAAGGGUGGUGCCUGGUGAGAAGUAAGACGGAGUCGAAAGACUCAGCUUCCUCUCCUCCUGGGAGCCCCACAGGCAUCUCCUCUCAUGUGGGUCCCCAAAUUCACCGCUCCCUCCUGCAGAUGCUCCUCCAGAAUUCAGUGUUCAAUGGUGGCACCGCCAUCUGUUCUAGGAGUGGCUGAAGCCAUCGCUAACUUCAGAUGCCGCCUGCAAAGGCUGAGU